rnacentral:tRNA from 1 species
AGUUCGUUGGUGUAAUGGCUAACACCUCGGAUUGUCUAUCCGAAGCUAUGGGUUCGAUUCCCGUACGAACUG